GCCAGCAAAUAGAAUAACCGCAACAGACCAAUCACCAAUUCCAAAAUUGAAGGAUCAUCACCUGGCUUUCUGAUCAAAGACUCGUGAGAGAGAGAAAGAGAGACAGAGAGGAUUGGUGGAAGGGGUGAGGAAUUGAGACUGCUGGUAUACAGAUAUGCCCGUUUAUAAAAGAGAAAGAAAAAUCCUAUAAUCUAUUCGUGUUUUGGUCUCACUAACUCUGAAAUGAGAAAGAGUGGCAG
rnacentral:lncRNA from 1 species